CAUGUAAACUCGAGGCCGUUUCAGAGAAGAAAACACUGCCACAUUGGCACCAUAGCAUCUGUUCCUGCUGCCAAUGCAAGAUGUUUGAGUUCCCGUUUUAUCUGUCAGUGACUAUGCUCUUCUAAUUUCAAAGACCUUGUUAUUCUAGAAAUAUUUACCAAUCAAAAUAUUCCAAUGUUGCUUUACCAGAGCAGCAUCUGAAGUUACACAGCUGAAGUAACAGGUUUUGUUUCCCUCUCUGUUCUAAGAAAUAAGUACCAUUAAUGGCGGCCUGGAACUUGCUGUGGAAGCUCAUCAUCUUGGCCCUUCCAGCAUAUUCUUCUGCCACUGAAUAUAUGAGCAUGUUGCUAUCUAGGUGAUUGGUGCAAUGGCUUGAGGUGGAGCUGAUAGAUGACUAGUUUUCAUUUUGAAUGUUAAGGGACAUCAACUUUUUAUGCAUCCCCUUAAAAAAGAGGUCAAAGUGAGAUGUAGAUAUCCAGAGAUACCAAAAGUAAGCCUCCUAUCUUAAGAAGACAAGAAUUGGAUAGGAGCUUCAGUUCUCUGUUCCUAUCUUAAGAAGACAAGAAUUGGAUAGGAGCUUCAGUUCUCUGUUCAGCUGUGGGUCUUCCCCUUUUGCUGAAUUCCACCCUUCUGUAACGCACUUGUUGCAAAAUUUUCCACAUUGCGUCAGGGAAAGCACGUGUCGCGGUUUCCUGUCGUGGGUAGCACUGCAUUACUCCGUCCCUCCCCUUAGCUCGCUGCUGCGUCACUUUUGGAUUACGUGCUCGAACCUAUAGCGGAUAGUUUUCUUGCGUCAGAGACUGAACCCCGCGGGCGCCCUUCCUUCCGGCCGGUUCCGAAAAUUUUCCCACCGCAAAACUCGAUAAGUCGUAGCCUUGACCACUGUUCACCUCCGCCCUUCAGCCGUCGUUUUCUUCCCUGCGACGUCGCCUCGUUCGCAGCUCUCCCCUGAUCAGCCUGUUGUUGAGUUCGCCGUCGAUCUUUUUCAGGCAAAGCAUCUCCUUUCGCAGGCGCGCUUCACCUCCGCCCUUCGCUUCACCGUUCGCGGUUCAUCUGCUCGCCGUCGUUCGUUUUGUUGUCUUCUCCCAAUCAGACGCAGGCGGACCUCCAGCAGUCUUCCGGCAGAGGGAUCUUCCUCCAUCUCGUGUAUUGUCCCUCCUAUGUGAAUUGGGUAUAAAGAUUACGAAGGCACAGGUUCAUCCCAUGUGAAUCGGCUACGUGGACUUAGACAGACCCUGGCCAAAAUAUGCUGCGCUUAUACAUUUGGGUGGGGAAAGACUCAAUUCUUAUCAUUAUGUGCAUGAUACAUGCUGAGGGAAGAAAACUAUCACGCAAGUUGAAGAAUAUAUAACAAGAAAGGUGACUACUGAAGAUGGAAGACCGAAGUUGGAUACAGAAGGAAAGAAUGAGCAUUGAGUAUGUGAAAGGAGUUGAAACCUUCAUCAAAUUUGCCAUCACAAAUAGCAUGGUAAUUGAUGGAAAAAUUAGGUGCCCAUGUGAAAAGUGCAACAAUUGUUUAUUUCAAUUGAUAAGAGAUGCGAUUGAUCAUAUUAUAUCCUUUGGUUUUCUCCAAAAUUAUACACAUUGGCAUUAUCAUGGGGAGUUAGUGAUGCCAUCUCAAAGUGGUCAAGUUGGCCCUUCUCAUGCUUUAAAAACUAGGAGGUUGGGUCGAAAACAGAAAUUCAAAGUGGAGGUGAACAAGCAUGGUCAACCAAUAGGUGAAAAAGCACAAAAAUUCAGUUCAUUCAUUGGUAAAUUGGCACGAAACCCACAAGUUACACCGCUUACCUAUCACACAUGGAAAGAAUUACCUCAGACAUACAAAGAUGACGUCUGGAAUCGUGUCAAGGAAAAGUUUGAAGGCCCUGGAGUUAAGGUUACUUGGGUCAUGAAAGAACAUGCAAAAUUGUGGAGAUGUUGGAGAUGUAAUUUGAGGAAGCUUUACAAAAAGCAUAAGGCAUUAGAGAGUUGCAUGAAACAUUGCAAGGUCACAAUCCCUGAAGAUCAAUGGAGAUGUUUGAUCCAACACUUUGAAACAACAAAAUCAAAGGAGCAAAGUGAAAAAAAUAAAGCAAACCGUGCAAUGCUAAAGUUUCCUCAUAAUACUGGCACAAAAAGCUUUGCUCGACUUCGAGCAGAAAAAGUUGCAGAAGGUACACCAGAGCCUUCACGCGCUGAGGUCUUCAUUAUGACGCGGACAAGUAAAAAAGGAAAUUGUCAAAAUCAAGCGACUGGUGAAGCAAUUGCCCAAAUCAAUGAAGCAAUGUCUCAAUUACCCGAAGGCAUUAGAGAUGAUCCAGCUCCAACUGACAUUUUGUCACGGGUUAUAGGGCCAGAUAAAUAUGGACAAGUGCAUACAUAUGGAAUGGGGGUAAAACCAUCAGAAUUUUUUGACGAAGCUCCUAGUCGAAGUGAGUUGAUGGUUCAAAAUGCAGUCUUGCGUGAACAAUUGGAUGAUCUACACAAUAAGGUGGACCAAGUAGAAGCCAAUCAAGCUGAAAAAAUACGUCAGUUGGAAGCUAGCUCAAAAAAAGUGAAUGAAUUACAAGUCCAGAUCAACUUGUUGAUGGAUAUGAUAAAAAAUGAAGAAGCAUCUGGAAAUUAAUGGGGUGAAUAUUCUAUGCAAUAAGUUAAUGUUCUUAAGUAUAUGAUUGGUUGCUCAAAUGGCUGAUAUAACUCUUCUCAUUUUGUUGUUUGUGGGGGUCUGAAGAUGAACUGAUUUUGUAGACCUUAUCAGACAUCUCGUGUGACUGGGCAAAGAACAUUGUAAAGAACAUGUGUAAUUGUUGGUUUGGAACUUUUAAUGUUGAUUAGAAAAAUGUUUCACAUGUAUGCAUUUCAUCAUGUUUGCACACAAACUUGAUUUCAUACUUUUUGAUGGAUACAGGUAAUUGGUGGUAUGCAUGCAAAAUUAGUUCCUUAUAUAUUCUUGCAUUUCUGUAUGGUAAAAUCACACUAAGAUAUUAAGUGUUGCAUAUUGAUGGAAUUGUUGCUUAGAUGGCAUGAGGUUGACCUCGGGUCAUUUUUGUCUUAUCAUUUUCUCUGUUCUUUUUCAUCCUUAAUUAUUGCAUCAAUAGACUCUUUAUGUUUAUGCCUGUAGAAUCAAUAUCAUCAAUGUACACAUAAAGCUUGAUGGCUUUGGUUUAGGGAUCUUUCUAUGCUUCAUCUGUUUGACAUUUCAUGGUAUAAUGCUUGUCAUCCACUACGGUGGUAUUUGUUUAAAUAGGAUUUCAGAUGAGUUGAGAAAUGGGAAAUGAAGGUGAUGAUACACAGAUGGUGAGUAUCAGAGGCUCUUAUUGCCCAAGAGACUAUUGGAGUUAGAUAUGAUGUUGAUCUUCAAUGUCUUACCAACCUUUUUCCUGGAAACCUCUCCCAUAGCUAGAGGGCAAUGGUUUUGAGAAUCAUCUUUUGCUGUAUAAUCUUGAUUUUCCUAUAUUAUGGAGUACAUAUUUGAUAUCUAUGGACUAUGGUUUUUGGAAGAGCUCCAGCCCUCAGAGGCUGGGCUAUUGGUGAGUUGUUGAGCUUCCCGUACUCUUUGAGCUAAAGGAAGUUCAUGGCAGAGAGGAGAUUGAAAAGGAGGUGAUUGCAGCUUCUCCAUAGAUAUGUACUUGAGGGCAGAGAUGGGGAGACGUCAUGUUUAUGGAGCUUUAUUUAUGUUUGAAUCAGCAAUGGGACUUUUCUGCUGCUGGUUACUUUAUUAAUAGGGAUGAACACAUGAUUCUAUGUAACGAGAUUCCUGUAAUUAUCCAUUUGUCCAUUUUAUUGCUGCUUCCUUUCAAUGUUAUGUCUUUCUUUUCCUUCUUUAUGACAAUUUGAUGUAGACACUGUACAAGUGCAGCUGCUGUAAAAUUCCCAACUGCACAUGAGCUGUGGGAAGAACUGGAAAAUUAACUGCUGGCAUCCUGUAUAGGCCACUGAGUGAGUUGAAGCCACUGAUUAGUUCAAAAAUUGUCACUGCAGUUUAUUUUAUUGAUUCCAUCAGCAAACUCGAAUGAUGAUUGUAACGAUACUUGCUGAUUAGUGGUAAGCUUUUGUGUGUUGUUUUUUUUCUGCUCACAUAGCCUACUUUCUAAUGUUGAAGCGAAUAUGACCUGUAAAAUUGCAUAUAUCUACAGUGUUUAGUGCUGCUAUUAUCCAAGGGAUAUGCUACGUAGAAUUUUGCAGCUUGUUGCUCUCAUUAUUUUGUUUGGUGUUUUAGCAGUGGGAACUGCAAGCCGGGGAAAGUGCAGGGAUUUAAUGAAACGGAGGUGUGUGCAUUUGGUUAUAGACUAGCCUUAACCAGCCCAUUAAGCCCCUACUUGAGUUUUGAUCUUGAAGUUGUUAAAGGUCACAGGUUUGUCACAUGCAGCUUUCAUGGAAUUUUCCAUUACUUCCCCUCCUGCCUCCAAUGUACAUACCUGUGUGUGUGUGUGUGUGUAUAUAUAUAUAUACGUAUAUACUAUAUACAUAUAUAUAUAUAUAUAUAUAUAUAUAUAUAUAUAUAUAUAUAUAUAUAUAUAUAUAUGCCUUGAACUUGGUAAUGGUUCACUGGUUAGUCAUUUGCAGCUUUUAUGAAAUUUCAUUAAUCCAUAUCUAUAUGCAUCUUUAUAUCUAUAGAUAUUUGAGGGGUUAAACUGUUCCAACAUUGACAAUGUUUUCCUGAACAGCUGACAAAAUCAUAUUAUCAACAUGCUGUGGUUCAGAUAAGGCACAAGCCGUGGUCAUGUUUAGAGUGUAUUACUCUCACAAGGGACUGGUGUGAUGGCAAUGGCAGAUAGAGGAAUCCCUACCGCUUCAUUCAUGGAGAAGUGUAGACCCAAGUCACAUGGACAUUUUGUAUUGGAUGAUGCACCCUUGUCGACAUGACCCAACACAGGUGCAGGUAUGGGUGCGGCUUAGGACAUCCAACACAUGCUUGAUCCAAUCGGGUGUGGUCAAUGCACCCUGGUCUGUAGCUGACCAUUUUUGGACUCGGUCAAACUUGACCAUUUUGGCCCAACAUAUGGGCUUUGUUUUUUCAACUCGCCACAUAUAUGCAUGGGAGAACAGCAUAUUGGUCCAAGAUUUCUGGUGACUCUUCAGCUUCCAUUGCAGCUAGUCGUGGAUUUGCAGCAUGCAGCGUUAUUUUGCGGCUUUUGCUUCAGCAAAACAAUGUCUACGCAACACAUGGAUCAUCUUCUUGUAUCUUCAAUUGUAGUUUUUUCUCUGGCACUAUCUUCUUUUUUCUAGCAAACCUUUGCAUCUCCGGCAGUUCUGUUCUGCUCUGUGGCAACUAGCAUUGAAUCGCCUUCUCCUUCUACCUGCCCUGCUUUAAUGUAUUCUUUUUAUGGUCAAUGCAUAUCACGUACUUUGUUUAUUUGUACGUAGUUGUUUGUCUGAUUUUAAACAGUUCGUUGAUACUUGAUAGUUUAAACUGCAUUGGCCAUGUCUGGACAUUCUUCUUUGAUUAUGUAAAACGUUGUCUCUUAUGCAGCUUUGUAAUUUGCAUUUUCUUUA